rnacentral:rRNA from 1 species
GUUAGGAAUAUUGGACAAUGGGCGCAAGCCUGAUCCAGCCAUGCCUCGUGAGUGAUGAAGGCCUUCGGGUUGUAAAGCUCUUUAGUCCACGAAUAUAAUGACUGUAGUGGAAGAAUAAGCCCCGGCUAACUUCGUGCCAGCAGCCGCGGUAAUACGAAGGGGGCGAGCGUUAUUCGGAAUCACUGGGCGUAAAGCGUGCGUAGGCUGUUUUGUAAGUCAGAAGUGAAAGCCCAGGGCUUAACCCUGGAAUUGCUUUUGAAACUACAAGACUCGAAUUCGGGAGAGGAUAGCGGAAUUGUCAGUGUAGCAGUGAAAUGCGUAGAUAUUGACAGGAACACCAGUGGCGCAAGCGGCUAUCUGGACCGAUAUUGACGCUGAGGCACGAAAGCGUGGGGAGCAAACAGGAUUAGAAACCCCUGUAGUCC